UUUCGUUUGUUAAAUAAAUUUGUUAUAUUUUGAUUAAAUCCCUGCUUCCCUCUUUUUUUGUCAUAAUCUUUGA